GUUUCGCUUUUGUUUCUGAUUUGUUACAAUCUGUGAAUUCUAAGCUACUCCCAACAAAGUCAAAAGAAUGAAAUUUUGUUAGAAAGAAGAUGAAGGACGCAGCUUGUGUGAGGUGCAGGAGCUAAGUGGCUACCGCGGCAAUACGAAUGUGCUGUGUGAGGCCCACACAAACCUUAAGCAGAUUCAAGAGCAAAGAAAAGUGCUGUCACAAAUCCACAGCAUGCAGAGGAUACAGAGAAGCACUGGCCUCCCCUGGCCCAGGCUGCGGCAAACCCAGCAGCCUCCUUAAUGCACAAAAGCCAUGGGUGGUAGCCAGCCACAUGAGGUGGUCACAGGAACCCACCUGACUGGGUUGGGUGCCUGGUAUAGGUGGUUAGUAAUGAAUUAACCAGACUCGGUAGAAUAAUAGAUGCCAUUUAUUUGUGGGAAGAAUUUACACAAGGAUGCAGACCCGACUCCCAGAUGCUCUCCACGACUUGAUGGGGGCCUUCUGAGCCCUGAUCCUUUCCAUUUAUCUGGUCAAGUUCGCACCUGUAAACACACACUGCUACAGGUGUGUCUUCUCAUCAACUGACUGCAGAUGAAGCUUCAAUUCAGGGUCCAUGUAAAAUGUGCAGUAGGAAAACAGAAAACACUCAUCUUCAAGAAGCCAAAAAGAAACACAAACAUGUAGAUGCCUAAAGAAGAAAGGAUAGUUAUCCAGAAAGAACCAUCAAAUAAAGAAGCCAUAUGAGUAAGGAACAUCACAAGAUCACAGAAUUGAAUCACCAGAGCUCAUGGGGACAGUCAGAGAAUUAGCAUGGGACUGACCUAGGUAUUUUUUUUUUUUAAUGUAAGUUACAGUUGUGUAAGUUACUGUUCUUGUGGGGAUCCUAACAGUGGGAACAGUGCUCUCUCUUGUAGCAUGAAUUCUAGUUGGUAUUAAUAAUAAAAUCCCAGAGUCAGAUAUUGGAGUUAAAACUGAAGAUCAAAGAAGAAAAGUGGCCAGCCAUUGGAAAGUCCUCACCUUUACCAAUGCUCACACUGAAAGGGGCAGUCCUGUCUUUAGAUUGCAUCUCCAGACUGCAUCUGUCUCCAUCAUACCUCAGACUGCAUUGAGCUCCUGUCUCCUCUAGCCUUAUAUUCCUCUCUAGUGCAGGGAUUAAAGGUAUGGGAUGCCAAGUGCUGAGACCACCUUUGUGUGAGCACUGUUUGUUUGCUUAGUGGUGUUUACAAAGUCCUGGUAGGAUCAUCACUGUGGGGGUUCUAUCUCCUUUUUGGAGAUUUCUUUCCUUGGUAAUUUUUCCUGGGUAGAUCUUCCUUCUUCUUUGGCAUCUUAUUUGCUAAAAUACCUUUAAAUUCUUUAAUUAGGUUGUUUUUUGUUAUCUGAAAAGACAGAAAAGGAAACCCUUCCCCAACCCUAACUUUGGGGAGGUUCCUAUUCUAAUCUUUAUCAGUUUUGAUUUAUGAGUUCUGAUGACAUUUUUGUUUUAUUUUCCAAAGUUCUUCUAUCAUCCAGAGCAGUAUGAGUUUUGACAAUAGGCAUUAAGUCUCUAGGGAUAAUUAUAUUGCAAAUUGACUACUAGUUUAACAUCUGCUUCAGAAAUGGUGAGUGUGUGCUAUAUGAAUUUCCUUAAAUCUAACAUUGCCACAGGAGUCCAAUCAGCUAUUACAGAGCCUAUAUCAUUUUGCAUUUCCUAUAAUGUUACUGGAUGUAUUAAGGUUUGUUGUAUGAAAACCUUAGACUGUUCCUCUCUAACCUUAUAAUGCAAUGCUGAAAUUAGUUCUUCUUUAAAUUCUUCUCUCUGGUUUUAAAUAUCUCCAUUAUCUGUUACGUUAAAUUUUUCUAAACCUUGUAUCUUGCCACUCAUA